rnacentral:misc_RNA from 1 species
GAAAUGCGAUAAGUAAUGUGAAUUGCAGAAUUCAGUGAAUCAUCGAAUCUUUGAACGCACCUUGCGCUCCUUGGUAUUCCUUGGAGCAUGCCUGUUUGAGUAUCAUGAAAUCUUCAAAGUAAAUCUUUUGUUAACUCAAUUGGUUUCUACUUUGGUAUUGGAGGUCUUUGCAGCUUCACACCUGCUCCUCUUUGUUCAUUAGCUGGAUCUCAGUGUUAUGCUUGGUUCCACUCGGCGUGAUAAGUUAUCUAUCGCUGAGGACACUGUAAAAGGUGGCCAAGGUAAAUGCAGAUGAACCGCUUCUAAUAGUCCAUUGACUUGGACAAUACUUUUAUGAUCUGAUCUCAACUCAUGUAGGACUACCCGCUGAACUUAAGC